AGUGAACGCUGGCGGUAGGCCUAACACAUGCAAGUCGAACGGCAGCACAGUAAGAGCUUGCUCUUACGGGUGGCGAGUGGCGGACGGGUGAGGAAUACAUCGGAAUCUACUUUUUCGUGGGGGAUAACGUAGGGAAACUUACGCUAAUACCGCAUACGACCUACGGGUGAAAGCAGGGGAUCUUCGGACCUUGCGCGAUUGAAUGAGCCGAUGUCGGAUUAGCUAGUUGGCGGGGUAAAGGCCCACCCAGGCGACGAUCCGUAGCUGGUCUGAGAGGAUGAUCGGCCACACUGGACAGGAGACACGGUCCAGACACCUACGGGAGGCAGCAGGGGGGAAGAUAGGACAAUGGGCGCAAGCCUGAUACAGCCAUACCGCGGGGGUGAAGAAGGCCUGCGGGUUGUAAAGCCCUUUUGUUGGGAAAGAAAAGCAGCAGGUUAAUACCCCGCUGUUCGGACGGUACCCAAAGAAUAAGCACCGGCUAACUUCGU
rnacentral:rRNA from 1 species